UACGAAGGGGGGCUAGCGUUGCUCGGAAUCACUGGGCGUAAAGCGCACGUAGGCGGAUUGUUAAGUCAGGGGUGAAAUCCUGGAGCUCAACUCCAGAACUGCCUUUGAUACUGGCGAUCUCGAGUCCGGGAGAGGUGAGUGGAACUGCGAGUGUAGAGGUGAAAAUUCGUAGAUAUUCGCAAGAACACCAGUGGCGAAGGCGGCUCACUGGCCCGGUACUGACGCUGAGGUGCGAAAGCGUGGGGAGCAAACAGGGAUUAAGAAACCCCG
rnacentral:rRNA from 1 species